GUUCGCCCAUUAAAGCGGUACGCGAGCUGGGUUCAGAACGUCGUGAGACAGUUCGGUCCCUAUCCGUCGCGGGCGUAGGAAAUUUGAGAGGAUCUGUCCUUAGUACGAGAGGACCGGGAUGGACAUACCGCUGGUGUACCAGUUGUUCCGCCAGGAGCAUCGCUGGGUAGCUAAGUAUGGAUGAGAUAAACGCUGAAAGCAUCUAAGUGCGAAACUCACCUCGAGAUAAGAUUUCCCAUUACGUAAGUAAGUAAGAUCCCUGAAAGAUGAUCAGGUAGAUAGGAUGGAAGUGGAAGUGCUGUGAGGCAUGGAGCGGACCAUUACUAAUCGAUCGAGGACUUAACCAAG
rnacentral:rRNA from 2 species